AUUGAACGCUGGCGGCAGGCCUAACACAUGCAAGUCGAGCGAGCGGCGGACGGGUGAGUAAUGUCUGGGAAACUGCCUGAUGGCGGGGGAUAACUACUGGAAACGGUAGCUAAUACCGCAUACCAUCAGAUGUGCCCAGAUGGGAUUAGCGAGUAGGUGGGGUAACGGCACACCUAGGCGACGAUCCCUAGCUGGUCUGAGAGGAGGACCAGCCACACUGGAACUGAGACACGGUCCAGACUCCGACGGGAGGCAGCAGUGGGGAAUAUUGCACAAUGGGCGCAAGCCUGAUGCAGCCAUGCCGCGUGUAUGAAGAAGGCCUUCGGGUUGUAAAGUACUUUCAGCGGGGAGGCGUUACCCGCAGAAGAAGCACCGGCUAACUCCGUGCCAGCAGCCGCGGUAAUUC
rnacentral:rRNA from 1 species